CUCCUCCUGCACCGUUCGCCUCCCGCAGCCGCGCUCACCGCUGCCUCGCACCGCCGGAGCCACGGGAAGCCGCCGCAGGUCGCCGGGAGCCUGCCCCUGCCGCGGGUCGCCGCCUCCCCAGCCGCGGGAGCCCGCCCCCGCCGCGGGUCGUAUCUUCCCCAGCCGCCGGAGCUCGCCACCGCCGUGGGUUGGCGCCUCCCUAGCCGCGGGAGCCGCCCCCGCCGCGGGUCGCCGCCUCCCCAGCCGCCGGAGCCGCCCCGCCGCGCCCUUCGUCGCCACUCCGCCGCAGCUUGGGGGCAAUAUCGCGGGAGGGGUCGUGCCAGCGGGCGCUCCGUGAUGGACGCGAGCAUGGGCUGUUGUCACCGCCUGCUUCUCUCCUCCGCUGCACCACGAAUGCGAGCUAGGGUCUCCGUCGUCGUUCCUCCAUGAAGCCGGGAAAGCCAACACCGCCGCAGACGAUGUGGGGCUACCCGCCAGCUCUGGUAGCUUCCAACGAGCAUGUGCUGAUGUGCCUGCUCCGCAACGGUCAUGCCCCGCGCUUGCUGACAAGAUUAUUUUGUAUGCUAAUGGUGCCGUGGCGGCUGCAUGGCGGAGGGUUGCACGCUCGACUUUGACGUCGCCGUCUUCAACAGGGAGAAGAUGUCCCUCGCCGGCCAUGACAAGUAUAUGGUGGCGGGCGGGCGGAACCUCUUCGCACUGCUCCUGGAGGCAUCAAGGGUGACAAGUCCUCUAUAAUGAUUGAAUCGGGCUCCCAGUGUUUCUUUGGAACACUGGAUUCCACUACCACGUGCAAUCAUUUAUUAGUUAUUCCAACAGGUCAUGGACUUUCCACGCGCUCAGACAGCAACAUUCUUUAUCCAACGGGUUAAGUGAUUUUAUCCAUCUGAAUAUUGUGUUAUCAUUUGUUUUAAUUCAAGUGAUAUUACGCAUGUAGCUUGCUGGGUAUAUUUUACAAUAGUUACCUUUGGAAAUUUCUUAGAGAUUAUAGAUGGGACAGAGACAACAUUGCAGAUACGUUGCAGCUGGGCACCAUGAUCAUUGCCCCCAUAUCUCCUUUUUAUGUUAUGAAGAUAUACAUGUAGGUUUCCUUUUUGGCAAUUUUUGGAGAUCAUAAAUGAUAUUAAUAUUAGAGAAAAGUAUUAUGGUUGUACCGCAAUUUGCAAGGUUUCUUGUGUCUGUGUGUACAAACAGAUAAAAUCUUAUUGAAGUGACUUUGAUUAAUUUCCUUUUCAAAGUUAUUGUUGGGCCAGCUAUUGACCUCUAUAAAACAUUUAUUUUCACUUCUCUUUUGCUCCCAGGAAAUCUGGUGCAAGCCCCACUACAGUUUUAUAUAAAGAUGUUGGAGGCACCAUCGAAAAGAGACAAGUCUGCGUGAAUCUUGUCCAAACUCCACAUCGCUGUCACUGAACAAAGUUGGAGGUGCAAUUGAAAGAGACCAGCCAAAUUCUUCUUCUGGAUAUUAAAAAGAAAACAUGGCUAGAGAUUUCAUGCCAUGUCAUUCCAUUUAUGUUCGCUUGUGUCAUUAUCAUAUCUGAUUACAUGAUUGACAUCUAUUUCAUAAUUAGCAUAUACUUCGAGACAUGAUAUGUUUUGCUUUAUUUAUGGACAACAAUAUAUGUUUACUUAUUGUGAUCAUAUAAGUGAACAAACAUAGCCAACGGUUAAAGUUCAUAUCUACUAUGUAUAUAUAUUUUUCAUUCACACAUGUCUCACUGCCUUUUAAGCACUUAGAGAGCAGAACUGGAGAUUGCUCUCAUUAAAUGUGAACAAGAUUGAUGUUCUUUUUUUUUUCGCAAAAUAGUAAAUACUGUGUUCUCUUGAUUGUUUUUUGAUUUUUCGGCUUACCUGAAUCUAAGAAGUCCGACCAUCAAUUAAUGAGAGAUUUUUGCUUCUAUCAUUCGUGGAACCAUAGAAAUGAAGUACAGACCGCGCCUCAGCCAACACUUCACAAUCUUUUUCCCCAAAGCAAACAGUAUCAUUAUUUAUGUAUUCUAAAUUAAAAUAUUUUUGCUUGUGUGCUCAAGUAAAAUUUUACUGCUUAAAGGAAAAAGAAACCAUUUUAUCACUCCUACAGUUCACAGGGAGAGAGAACAAGAAAGAAAACCUUCUACCACAAUCUUGUCUUCCUACUUACUUUUACUUACCAAGAAGAAACAACAAUAAAGGAAUCUUUUAAGAAAAUGGAUAAAAGAUCAUUUUCAGUUAGUAAUGUACAACUCCCAACUUGUCUCUUUUACUUCUUUUUCUGUGCAUGUGCACCCUAUUGAAUGGUGUUGUACUUGUACAUACUGGAAUUGCAGGCAAAACAAUGUGAUGGAUGGUCUAUAAGAUUAUCUGGUUGAAUUCAUCUCCAGGGUAAAAGAAGUCAGGCAAUGUGCAUGAUGUUUGAUUGGAAAUAAUAUUGCUUUGAAAAUGUACGAAUGCUUUCUUGGCAUCUGACAUUGCAGAAUCAAACAUUGAUGCAUACUUUGUAAAUUCUCUUGGGGAGAAAAAGUAUAAUUUGCAAGUUGCAACAUUGAUCCCAAAAUACAUGGUGUUCACACAUAUCUAUUUUAUGUAGUUUGUGAUAAACCAAAAUGUUGAGUCUUUGAAAGUACCACUAAUGACCUCUAUUUAUGUGGAGAUAAGUUAUGAAAAAAUUUAUGAAAAAAUGACAUAAAACAACUUUGAACCUAUAUGAUGUAAGGGCCUGAAAACAUUUCGGGCCUAUAUGAUGAAUGUUACCUUGGCUGUUUUUUUGUGUGUGUCAUCUUAUACCACCAUCAACAACUAUAAGUAUACGGUAGUAUGAGACAUGCACACAAGGUGUGUUUGAUUGAGAGUGGAUGUAUCUUUGAAAAGAGCAUUAGCAGAUACGUGCGUUGCACGUGCAAGUUUACUAGCUACUGCUAGGCCAAAUCAGCCGGGAACAACUCCCCUAUCCCACCCGACGAAGCAGGAACCCGACUCUGCUGGAUCGAUUCCCUGCCGCCCAUGAAGGGAACCGCCUGGCCGCAGGGGCAGGAGCAAACGGGAACGGGUGAAGAGCUCGUCCUGACUCCAGGGCCAUACUUGAGAAUUUGGGGGCCCGGUGCAAAAUCAAAGUUCAGGCCCCAGUAAUUUAAAAAAAUACGGUAAGAUGUUUUUAAGAUAUACCAUAUGCACAACAUACUUUUUCCAAGAACUAUGUGUUGCAAAAAAACUAUAUGUUGCAAAAAUGCAAAUUUAUGAAUUAAUCUCUUCUAAUAUGUAUUUUAGUUGGAACAAGCAAAUUUUCAAAUUUAUCUGAAUUAAAAUAUUCAAGCACAGUUUAUUAAAAAAAUCCUCUCUAUUCCAUUUUCAAUAAAAUGAAACCACGAAAAAAGACUGCAAUCCUUUGGUUGUUGAAGUUCUAUUGUAACAAACCAGAAAAAAAAUCCACAUCAACAUGUUUAUUUUUUGUUACUAGACAUAUGUACUAAAUUGGAGAUUAUUUAUUUUGUUUACUUUCUAAGAGAUGUUAUAUGUCCAAUUUUAAUUGUUGCAACUGCUAUGGUCCAGUGUACAUGUGUAUUAUGUGUUCAUAAAUAAUGCAAAUAUGGAAUAUAUUAAAAUAGUAGAUUUUGAAUGAGAUAUUUUCCUUCAUACAUAAUUUACCUAUAAUUAGUCUUAUAUUUUCACAGCAAAUGAAAUCACUAGUUUUAAAUACAGAUGGCAGUAUUUCGACUGUGUCGUCAAGUGCUCCAUCAAUGCUGCAAUUGGAAAGACCAAAAGAAAAUGGGAACCACUAGGGAUCAGACUACUGGUCCCUAGCGUUCCACCAGACCAGCCCGUAGCUGUUGGAUUAGAAGCACACAAGCCGUUAGAUCAUGUGCGGAAAGGACGCUAGAUUUGGGAACGUCCUCCUUUUAUUACGGUGCUUCCUGUAACCGCUCCCGUAUUAGUAGCCAGUUAAUUUGUACGAGCCUCGCUUCUCAUAAUCAAGUUGCCUAUGAUGCUUCUGCUUCCAUCGUUCAGUCAAGAAAAAAAGCAAGGAUGUCUCAUCUGAUACUAGUAAAAUUUCAUACUUUUUCAUGUCGAAAGAAAAUACUUUCUUAUUUUCGAAAGAAAUAUUCUAUGAUUUUUGGAUGCUAGUAUUUUUUGUAACUAGAUGAUGCCCCGCACGUUGUUGCGGGAAUGUUUGCAAUAUUUCAAUGAGAUUUUGAUUAUAUGAAACAUGAAUUCUUGAAACAAUAGUUUCUGAAAGUAUAUAAGAAUUAAAUAUAAAUAGCAUAAUAAAAUGGAAUUUUACAUGCAUGCAUGUUGCAGUGGAUUUUUAAUAUGCAUAGUUGCAUGUUGAGGUGGACUUUUUCUUAUGCAUGUUGAAUGAUGAGGUGGCAUACUUGCAUGUUGAGAGAAAUAUCUUACUGGGGGCUAGCUAUUUAGAUAUAGAAGAUUGCUCUGAUGUAAUGAAAACUUGUAACCAGUGUGACUUUAUUUUUGUUUCCAACACACCAAAAAUUUGCUUCCACUAACGACACAACUUCUUCUAAUGCAAUCUAGCAAAAAAUUGUGUCAAGGAACCUUGCUUCCAUGUAACAAAAAUUUGCUUCCGAGGCUUUUUUAACAUGGAAAAAAAUUUGAGUCCCAUAUUUUUUUAUUAUGUUUCCAACUCAAGAAAAGUUUGCUUCCAUCCAUUACAAAAGUGUUUCCAUCAUAAUACUGAUUUGCUUAUAACCAAACAUAUAUAAGUUAGUUUUUGUACUUCGUCUGUUCAUACAACAUGUUUCAGACGUGCCACAACUUCUUGCUUCUUUCAAGUUGCCGAUAAUACAAUGCUUCCUAAGUUCAUAUUGAUAUCAAAUAAACACUGUUGAUUGUUUGUUCUAACAAAACAAUGCUUCCAACAGAAAUAGUAUUUGCUUCCUGUGAUAUCAGCAUUUGCUUCUGUAUACAAAGAAUGGUCAAGGGGUUUCCUUCAUGUCGCCACACUGCCACCAUGGUCCACCUUGAUGGCGACGGCACAUGCGCAAGGGAUACUCCAGACGGACCGCGAUAAAACAUAGGGGCUGUCGUGUAGGUGGCUGCGACGUGGAAAUGGCGGCCACGAGCAGCGAAGAUGACAUUGAGGAGGCACAUGCAGUAUGGGCUCCCCACGGAGUGCUCUUUGCCGCUGGUGAAGGGUACCAUGGAUGGUCGUCGAUGGGGCACCAUGAUGAGGAAGAUGGACUGUGGUUGCAGAGAAAGGCCGUGGAGACCUUGCGCGCC
rnacentral:rRNA from 1 species